rnacentral:rRNA from 1 species
GUUAAAAAGCUCGUAGUUGGAUUUCUGUCGAGGGCGGGCGGUCCGCACUAUGUGCGUGUAUCUUGUUCGGUCUUGGCAUCCUCUUGGGGAAUGCUUCUGUGCUUGAUUGCAUGGGGUGGAAUUCAAGACUUUUACUUUGAGGAAAUUAGAGUGUUCACGGCGAGCUACCGCUUUGAAUACAUUAGCAUGGAAUAAUAAUAUAGAGGCGUAAGUUCUAUUUUGUUGGUUUCUAAGACAUACGCAAUGAUUAAUAGGGACAAUUGGGGGCAUUCGUAUUAACGCGUCAGAGGUGGAAUUCUUAGAUUGCGUUACGACGAACUACUGCGAAAGCAUUUGCCAAAGAUGUUUUCAUUGAUCAAGAACGAAAGUAUGGGGAUCGAAGACGAUUAGAUACCGUCGUAGUCUAUACCAUAAGCUAUGCCAAUUAGAGAUUGGGCGUCGUUCGUUUUAUGACUCGCUCAGCACCUUAUGAGAAAUCGAAGUCUUUGGGUUCCGGGGGGAGUAUGGUCGCAAGGCUGAAACUUAAAGGAAUUGACGGAAGGGCACCACCAGGAGUGGAGCCUGCGGCUUAAUUUGACUCAACAC